UACGAAGGGGGCUAGCGUUGCUCGGAAUCACUGGGCGUAAAGCGUGCGCAGGCGGCUUUGCAAGACAGAUGUGAAAUCCCCGGGCUUAACCUGGGAACUGCAUUUGUGACUGCAUGGCUAGAGUGCGGCAGAGGGGGAUGGAAUUCCGCGUGUAGCAGUGAAAUGCGUAGAGAUGCGGAGGAACACCGAUGGCGAAGGCAGCCCCCCUGGGCUAGCACUGACGCUCAGGCACGAAAGCGUGGGGAGCAAACAGG
rnacentral:rRNA from 1 species